CUGAAACUCAUCCAUUUUACUAUGUUAUGAUCAAUACAAAUGAAAAUUUAAACGAUUUGGCACAUUGCCAGGAGCAGGGACACAAAGGCGGGGUUUUUCAUACAUGAAUUUACGUGGUUUUCAUUCGCUUCUAUCUUGCAAGACCCAUUCCGGAUUUGUUUGCAACUUAUAUCGGUUUUAACUAUGGGGUAUGUUUUAUAUCAAAACAAAAUAUUAAGCUUGGCAAAUGACUAUUAUAUGUUAAUUUAUGCCUUGGAAGGAUGGUGAUUUAAGUCCACAAUUGACACAUUUUGAUUUUGAUUUUAAUUAAAUUCUAAACACAAUUGGUACUAAAAUGGCUCAUAAAAUCAUUCGAACAAGUAAAAUCAAUUUGUCUGAAAAAUGAAAUAAGACGUAUUUGUACUGCAAGUCCAAAAAUCAAUAAAUUGUCUGAAACCAGGGAGUCCAUCUUUUAUGCUCUUUCAUUGACUUAUCUCCCUUGGGUAAGAUCUCAAACAUGUCAGCUCCCAGUGAUGGUUUGGCAGACAAAUGUUUACAGUGAAGUUUGUGACUUUAAUAAUCUAGGAUGAGCAUGUGGGCUAUCCCAGCCUUAUACAUCUACAUAUUACAAACUAUUUAAGAUAUCUGAAUGCACUAAAGACCAAAAUAGCAUUUCCAAACAAAAUAAUUACUGCCAAGAAAUUUGACAAUCAUGACAAUAAUUUAGUGAAUAAACAUGAUAAAUAUUGAUUGGAAAAAUAAGACCAUGAACAGCAAAAAGUGUUUUUAGAUUUCAACGAGCAAAACAAAAGUAUUCUAAAUCAUUCUUUGUAAAAAAAAAAGUGAGCGAGUGGAACCACCUUGCUCGCACCAAAAUUGAAAUUGAAAGUGUCAAAACUGCUCUGGCCCACCAUCAAUAAAUCAACGACACUCUCUCUACCGUGGUAUUGAAACCAGCAUUGGUAACCAAACAUAUUCAUACAGAUACAGACUACCAUUCAUCUACAUUUAGGAAGUCUGAAUAAUACUGAAAACUAUGGUGUAGAAUUUCCAACAGGACUCCUUAUUUUAUAUAAGACAAGGAGUGGUUUAUUUUCCCAUGGUUGUUACAUCAUCUUGUCUUUGAAUAUGCUCGAAGUACAGGGACUUUUAUGGAAUUCAUUGACAUGAUAGUCAAGCAAGAUGUCAACAUCUCGUCCAACCCUCUUCCAGCAAAGCCAAAGCUGACCAAGGAUCUUCACCCUUUCAAAACAGGCUGUAUACAGGACGAGUUAUUCCAGUAGGAACAGGGCUAUAUAUAUAUGCAAGCAAUGCUCAAUUAAGAUGAAUUUUUGUAAAAGUGACAAUAGCCAGGUCAAACUAAAUACAUGUAUAGAAGAAGAUAUUGAUCUAGACUUGCAGCUAACCUUUCUGUCAGUGUCAACAACAACUGAACUUUCACAGCACUGAGUCAACAUCAGAUUGGGAGACUGAUAAUGCUUCUAACAGAAACAAUUUAAACCAACCAAACAAGC